rnacentral:rRNA from 1 species
CGCAGCCGCGGUAAUUCCAGCUCCAAUAGCGUAUAUUAAAGUUGCUGCAGUUAAAAAGCUCGUAGUUGAAUUUCGGGACCAUCAUGUCGGUCGUGCCUCGGUACGUACUGGUAUUGUUGGUUUCUCCCUUCUGACGAACCAUGAUGUCAUUUAUUUGGUGUUGUGGGGAUUCAGGACUGUUACUUUGAAAAAAUUAGGGUGUUUAAAGCAGGCUCACGCUUGAAUACAUUAGCAUGGAAUAAUGAAAUAGGACGUUUGAUUCUAUUUUGUUGGUUUCUAGGAUCGACGUAAUGAUUAAUAGGGAUAGUUGGGGGCAUUAGUAUUCAAUUGUCAGAGGUGAAAUUCUUGGAUUUAUUGAAGACUAACUACUGCGAAAGCAUUUGCCAAGGAUGUUUUCAUUAAUCAAGAACGAAAGUUAGGGGGAUCGAAGACGAUCAGAUACCGUCGUAGUCUUAACCAUAAACUAUGCCGACUAGGGAUCGGAUGAUGUUAAUUUUUUAAUGACUCAUUCGGCGCCUUA